AGGGUAGUCGACAGGAUGGGACACCGGUUGACCCUUUCGGUGACUUCACCGAUCCGAUCUGAGGGUCUUUGUCAUGAGGGGGGUUUACCGAUCGGAUCUCCUAUCGCUUUAGAUCGUCCACUGGAGGGACUCGACAUUGACAUAUCAUCGAUCGAGGGUUAUCUCCGAACACCUUCCCCGGAAGUUCAGG